rnacentral:rRNA from 1 species
AUUGAACGCUGGCGGCAUGCCUUACACAUGCAAGUCGAACGGUAACAGGUCUUCGGAUGCUGACGAGUGGCGAACGGGUGAGUAAUACAUCGGAACGUGCCUAGUAGUGGGGGAUAACUACUCGAAAGAGUGGCUAAUACCGCAUGAGAUCUACGGAUGAAAGCAGGGGAUCGCAAGACCUUGUGCUACUAGAGCGGCCGAUGGCAGAUUAGGUAGUUGGUGGGAUAAAAGCUUACCAAGCCGACGAUCUGUACCUGGUCUGAGAGGACGAUCAGCCACACUGGGACUGGGACACGGCCCAGAAUCCUACGGGAGGCAGCAGUGGGGAAUUUUGGACAAUGGGCGCAAGCCUGAUCCAGCAAUGCCGCGUGCAGGAUGAAGGCCUUCGGGUUGUAAACUGCUUUUGUACGGAACGAAAAGCCCUGGGUUAAUACCCUGGGGUCAUGACGGUACCGUAAGAAUAAGCACCGGCUAACUACGUGCCAGCCGCCGCAGUAAAAC